AGUGCUGUCCAGUGAUGGUGCCUCUCGCCCCUCCGAGUUAUCUCCGAGUAUCGGAGAUAAAGAAUUACUUUCAAUACUGCUGUACUGAAAGUAAUUCUUUCCUGUGACAUCUGUUUUCCUCAGGUAAAACCUGAAUCCAGAUCUGGCUUUGACUCCUCGUGACGUCGCAGGCAGUUACCCCACUGCCCGAGUCUUCAGAACCUCCAAAGACAGUUGAAACUCGCCUCCAAUCCAAGAGAUCUGACUGGCAGUUCCAACACUCCGACGCCUUCAAGUACUUGCCUACCUGUCCGCCCUCCGACGCUGCCGCUCCAUCCGACUCAGUUUACCUCUUCCUCAAAUCAAUCCACUCUCAAGACCACUGGGAAAGUAAACCCCACAGACCAAAGGACCCUCGGACCAACAAUACCACGCCAACGCCGUUACUCAUCUCCGUUCCUUGCGCUGUUUGUCCAAUGCCUCUCUGUUCAGCAGUCUGUUCCCUGAACAGAGGCAUUGGACAAACAAAUUUCAUCUAUGCUGUUUCCUCAUGAUGGCAAGCUCACCAGUUACUUCUGUUCUGGGUUAGAACACUAGAAUACAGUCAUCUCUGUAGAACCUUUCUAGACAUUUUCUAAUUUUUGGUCAGAUUUCAUAGUUUAUCUAAAUCCUACAAUUAACUGAAUAAAUGAGUUUUAAAUACUUUGUUCAAAUUCAGGUAUUUACAUCCUUACUGUGGUGUACAUGGGUCUUCCAAAUGGAUAAUAAAAGCAAGCAA